rnacentral:rRNA from 1 species
UACGAGAGGCCCAAACGUUAUUCGGAAUUACUGGGCUUAAAGAGUUCGUAGGCGGUAUGAAAAGUAGGGUGUGAAAGCCCUCGGCUCGACCGAGGAAUUGCGCUCUAAACUGUCGUACUCGAGGAACCUAGAGGUGAGCAGAACUGAUGGUGGAGCGGUGAAAUGCGUUGAUAUCAUCAGGAAUACCGGAGGCGAAGGCGGCAUCCUGGACCGGCAUUGACGCUGAGGCGCGAAAGCCAGGGGAGCAAACGGG